CUCUCUGUUAUGAGGUAAUGUUUAUAAAAUGUUGAUGUUAGUGAAUGAUACUGUAAAUGUUAAUAUGUGUGAAAAGCCCACUUUGGGAACUUCACAGUGUUCUACCAGUUUUACGGAUUUUAUAGAAAGAAAUGGUAGAGCAUACUGAAAUUAUUGGUGUACCAGUGUAUGUCUGCCCUUGAAAGGUCCAUGGUGAAAUAUGUGAUGUUAACUUUUCUAAAACUUAUAAUAUGACCUUGUAUUAGCACCAACUUGUGAUUGCCUCAUUUCAGGGGUCAGGACUAAAGUUUCAGAAAACUGCGUAAGAUCAGCCAAAAGUGAAAGUGGGUCAUGAAGAGAUGAGAUGACUGUUCUUUUAAAACAUACACUGAAAAAUUAUUCAACUAUGUCUUAAAUUUCUCUCAAUCUCUAUAGGAAAUAUUCUCUUAAAAUAGACACCUAGUCCCUGUAGAUCUGACACACUGAACCAGCUUGGCAGAGUUUAACCUUAAAACAUUUUAUCGUUGUCAUCAAGCAUACGUCUUAAGAGUAGCUAACCAUUUGUGUACAUACCUCCUCAGACCCUAGUGCCAGUUAAAAAACAAAGCAGUGCAGGUCCUCCUUUUACUGUAGGUGGCAAAGGAGGACACUGCUGACACAAGUUCAGCAGUUUACUCAGAAUAUCAAGUUAAGUCUCCCGGAAGGGAUUAGUGGACUAAAACUAAUCAGAAGUGGAACAUAAGGUGUGUGAAUGGUUUUGAAGCUUUGUUAUUAUUAAUUAGGUUGAAUGAGACUUCAAGUUGGAAAAUACUGGUUAAGUUUUGUGUUUAGAUACUGGGUUCUUAAAGUUCUACCAUGAAAUAUGAUUUACUUUUGUCUGCAAUUAAUCUCAAAAAUAUUUUCCUUAAAGUAAGAAAAACACAUCUCAGUUAUAACUCAGUUU
rnacentral:lncRNA from 1 species